rnacentral:rRNA from 1 species
UACGAACUGUGCGAACGUUAUUCGGAAUCACUGGGCUUAAAGGGUGCGUAGGCGGCGGCACAAGUCAGGUGUGAAAUCCCCCGGCUCAACCGGGGAACAGCGCUUGAAACUAGGUCGCUCGAGUGAGGCAGGGGUGCAUGGAACUUCCGGUGGAGCGGUGAAAUGUGUAGAUAUCGGAAGGAACGCCGGCGGCGAAAGCGGUGCACUGGGCCUUGUCUGACGCUGAGGCACGAAAGCUAGGGGAGCAAACGGG